rnacentral:tRNA from 1 species
GGCGGGAUGCUGGAGUGGUUUAUCAGGCCUGUCUCGAAAACAGGUGUACCUUAAAGGGUACCGUAGGUUCAAAUCCUACUCCCGCCG